rnacentral:rRNA from 1 species
UACGGAGGAUGCGAGCGUUAUCCGGAUUUAUUGGGUUUAAAGGGAGCGUAGGUGGGCUGGUAAGUCAGCUGUGAAAGUUUGCGGCUCAACCGUAAAAUUGCAGUUGAUACUGUCAGUCUUGAGUACAGUAGAGGUUAGCGGAAUUCGUGGUGUAGCGGUGAAAUGCUUAGAUAUCACGAAGAACUCCAAUUGCGAAGGCAGCUGACUAGACUGUUACUGACACUGAUGCUCGAAAGUGUGGGUAUCAAACAGG